rnacentral:rRNA from 1 species
GGACCCGCACAAGCAGCGGAGCAUGUGGUUUAAUUCGACGCAACGCGAAGAACCUUACCAAGACUUGACAUCUAGCGAAGGGUGCAGAAAUGUACCCGCCCUUCGGGGCGCGAAGACAGGUGGUGCAUGGUUGUCGUCAGCUCGUGUCGUGAGAUGUUCGGUUAAGUCCGGCAACGAGCGCAACCCCUAUGAUAUGUUGCCAAUAUUAAGUUAGGAACUCAUAUCAGACUGCCGUGGAUUUAACACGGAGGAAGGUGGGGAUGACGUCAAAUCAUCAUGCCCCUUACGUCUUGGGCUACACACGUGCUACAAUGGGUACUACAAAGAGGAGCAAAGCAGUAAUGCCAAGCAAAUCUCAAAAAAGGUAUUCUCAGUUCGGAUUGAGGGCUGCAACUCGCCCUCAUGAAGUCGGAGUUGCUAGUAAUCCCGAAUCAGAAUGUCG